rnacentral:rRNA from 1 species
CAGCCGUAAACUAUGCGCGUUAGGUGUAUCGGUGACCACGAGUUACCGAGGUGCCGAAGGGAAACCGUGAAACGUGCCGCCUGGGAAGUACGGUCGCAAGGCUGAAACUUAAAGGAAUUGGCGGGGGAGCACCACAACAGGUGGAGCCUGCGGUUUAAUUGGACUCAACGCCGGGAAGCUCACCGGAUAGGACAGCAGAAUGAUUGCCGGGCUGAAGACCCUGCAUGACUAGCUGAGAGGUGGUGCAUGGCGUCAGUACU